GUUUAGGUAACUGAUUGUGUGGUGCCUGAAUGACUCUAGACUGUAGCAUUUUGGUAACAAUUUAGACUUUGCCUUGCUGGCACAAUGUUUGUAAAGUGAUGAUGGAAAUAAAAAGGAAUAAAUACAGACUUCCCCACUUGUGCUCAUUAAGCAGCGGUAUUGCUACUCUGACAGUGCAGCAACAAACAAGGUUCAGCGUUGGGAAGUUUACAGUAACCAUGAGAGUCAUCGCGACCCAGGGAUCUCGCUUUCAUUUGAAUAAAAUGGCAGGGGGGAGGCAGCCCGGUCACACAUGAACGCACGCCGCCUUCAUACACUGGUAAACAGACGCACAGUGAUGGGUGUCACUCCUUCUGUCCCUCCUGGGUUUCUUUUUGUCUGUGACUGGGUGGAGGCUCCACAAUGGGAGGAGAGACGCCGGUACAUAUACUGUCUUCCUGUUUGCUCCGUCUGUCUCACUCUUGCGUUUCACUGACUGCAACGGCUGACGGCCUUUUCCAUCGCAGUGUGUGAAGCCUCGCGAUGGCAAACGAUCACACGUGGCUCGCAGCGUCACUGCUAGGCCUGGUCUGUCUGUGUCAGUGUCAGGCCGCGCCAGCGACUGAGACUCCGCUACCGGACGGCUUGAACGUGAGAGAGGUGUUUGAUCGCCACAGCGCUGGCGGCUACUCGCUUACUGAGGAGCAGUUGUGGGAUGCAUUGAGAAUGGACUAUGAGGACUACGUCAGGUACCCGAACAUCGCGCUGGUGCGGGAGCUGAUGCUCAGUUAUGACAGCGAUGGCAACGGCGAGCUGGAGUUCCCCGAAUUCCAAAAUCUCUCCGACUUCCUCACCAAGAAAAGGACCUGAGCUGCUCAGCCGCAGCCCACCCUGACCUUCACA
rnacentral:lncRNA from 1 species